UAAAGGGAAAACGGUACUAUUUAUUUUGCCAUAGGCGACAAUACUAACAUUUUCUAAUUUUACCACUUUUUAUAACAAAAACCUGGAUAAAACAGUUAUGUGUUGUGUUAGUACUUUAUUACUCUAUUUUAAAAAUUGAAGCCAAAUAGUAUCAUGACCAAUUUCCAACGGAGCUUGUUUAUGUUAUCCAUGCCCACCGUCAUUUUGCAGCAAAUUUAUAAAAUUUUGAAAGCCUUUUCGAAUAAUUCUCUAGAAAAUAUUUCAAUAGGUUUUAAAAUUUAUAUUGUAAAUAUAAACACUGCAGUUAUUCAUAGAUAAAUAAAAAAAAUAUAUUGUACCCUUACAUCCAAUCACGGCGCUCCUAAGUUGACUUCCUUCACCUGUCUUGGGUACACACAAGGCCAACCUAAUGCUAGGAAAAUGUAAUACUACCGUUUUCCCU
rnacentral:lncRNA from 1 species